rnacentral:tRNA from 1 species
GCACCUGUAGCUCAGUUGGUUAGAGCGCUGCACCGGAAUCGCAGGGCCGUAGGUUCAAUUCCUACCAGAAGAC